rnacentral:rRNA from 1 species
GAUGAACGCUGGCGGCGUGCUUAACACAUGCAAGUCGAACGGUGAAGCAGGAGCUUGCUCUUGUGGAUCAGUGGCGAACGGGUGAGUAACACGUGAGCAACCUGCCCCUGACUCUGGGAUAAGCGCUGGAAACGGCGUCUAAUACUGGAUAUGUGAUGUGACCGCAUGGUCUGCAUCUGGAAAGAAUUUCGGUUGGGGAUGGGCUCGCGGCCUAUCAGCUUGUUGGUGAGGUAAUGGCUCACCAAGGCGUCGACGGGUAGCCGGCCUGAGAGGGUGACGGGCCAGAAUGGGACCGAGACACGGCCCAGACUACUACGGGAGGCAGCAGUGGGGAAGAUUGCACAAUGGGCGGAAGGCUGAUGCAGCAACGCCGCGUGAGGGAUGACGGCCUUCGGGUUGUAAACUUCUUUUAGCAGGGAAGAAGCGAAAGUGACGGUACCUGCAGAAAAAGCACCGGCUAACUACGUGCCAGCCGCCGCAGUAA